CCCUUAGAUGUCCUGGGCCGCACGCGCGCUACACUGAGUGUCUGAGAUACGAGUCUGCCUGGUCCGGCAAGGUCUAGGUAAUCGCUAAAAGACACAUCAUGCUUGGGAUAGAUUAUUGUAAAUAUUAAUCUUGAACGAGGAAUUCCUAGUAAGCGCAAGUCAACAGCUUGCGUUGAUUACGUCCCUGCCCUUUGUACACACCGCCCGUCGCUACUACUGAUUGGAUGUUUAAGCGAGGUUCUCGAACUGCUAGCGACUUAGCUUCGGUGAGGUCGCAGUGUGGGAAGUGAACCUAGCUUUGGUGUCUAGAGGAAGUAAAAGUCGUAACA
rnacentral:rRNA from 1 species